GUAACUGACGCUGAGGAGCGAAAGCGUGGGGAGCGAACAGGAUUAGAUAGCCUGGUAGUCCACGCCGUAAACGGUGGGUACUAGGUGUGGGUUUCCUUCCUUGGGAUCCGUGCCGUAGCUAACGCAUUAAGUACCCCGCCUGGGGAGUACGGCCGCAAGGCUAAAACUCAAAGAAAUUGACGGGGGCCCGCACAAGCGGCGGAGCAUGUGGAUUAAUUCGAUGCAACGCGAAGAACCUUACCUGGGUUUGACAUGCACAGGACGCCGGCAGAGAUGUCGGUUCCCUUGUGGCCUGUGUGCAGGUGGUGCAUGGCUGUCGUCAGCUCGUGUCGUGAGAUGUUGGGUUAAGUCCCGCAACGAGCGCAACCCUUGUCUCAUGUUGCCAGCACGUAAUGGUGGGGACUCGUGAGAGACUGCCGGGGUCAACUCGGAGGAAGGUGGGGAUGACGUCAAGUCAUCAUGCCCCUUAUGUCCAGGGCUUCACACAUGCUACAAUGGCCGGUACAAAGGGCUGCGAUGCCGUGAGGUGGAGCGAAUCCUUGUUAAAGCCGGUCUCAGUUCGGAUCGGGGUCUGCAACUCGACCCCGUGAAGUCGGAGUCGCUAGUAAUCGCAGAUCAGCAACGCUGCGGUGAAUACGUUCCCGGGCCUUGUACACACCGCCCGUCACGUCAUGA
rnacentral:rRNA from 1 species